GACCGCGUCUUUGUAACAGAGGAUGAGGAGGAGAGCUCCGAACACAGCUACGGUCCAGGUAAUGGUAAAGGGGCUGCAGAGAACAAACGACCAACCCUGGAUGGCCCAUGCUACAUCAAUGACCCUGUUCAGAUCUGCAGUGGGUCUUCAGAGUUGGGUGAGGAGGGAUCCAGCGGGGGCAGGGGGGCGGCAGUGAUGUACCCCCCUCCUCCAAACUGCCGCAUCCGAGAGGUACACUGUGGGAGCCAGGUGCGUCUGGUCGUCAUAGCGAUCCGAGACAUCACCAAGGGAGAGGAGAUCACCGUUGACUACAGCCUGACCGAGUGGGGAGACAACACUAUGGGUUUCCGUGGUACUGUCUCCUCAGGGAGAUAUGAGUGUAUCGCUGACCCUGAGAACAACCGUAUCAAAAAGGAGGAAGAAUCCGGGCUCGUGCCCUCCUCUCUCUCAGCCCAGGACUACCUCACCCCUUCCUGGCCCCUGUCCCCCUCUUCCUCCCCCCUCUCCCACUCCAACGCCAGCGACUCGGAUCCCCAGAAUGAGGAGGGCGAGGACGGGGGUCAGAGACGCACACCUCGCCGCCGAAAACGCCGCCGGACCACCACACCUUCCAAAAAGAGAACCACCCCUCACCGGACAUCCCCGGGCCGCCCUCCCCUCUCCUCUUCAUACCGCCCCCUCACCUUCUCCCCCCCUCCCUCCUCCUCCACCUCUUCUCGCCCUUCUCUGUUCAAAUCCCCCGCUCCGUUGGGGCCCAACACGACGGCGAACAUCAGUAUUAACAUCGCCAGGGGGAUUGGCAUGGGCGUGCCCCCCCAGAAGCUGAGCUGCGCCUACUGCGGCCGCCACUUCCGCUCACUGGGGCGCCACCUGGACAAGCACCACACCAACCAGCCUGAGAUCCGCGCCGCGCUCAUCGAGCGCUUUAUGCCCCACCUGGCGGCCGCGCACGCCACACACCACACUCAGUCCCAGCAGCAACCUCGGUCAUCAUCAGGAGUGGAGCAAAACUCCCACAAGCCACCACCGGGGGGCGCCACCGCGUUCUCCCUGUCUCCUCAACGUCCGGCCGCCCAAUCCCCUUCCUCCGCCGUUGGGGGAAACUCCUCCCCCCUGGUAUUGACUCCACCCCGAGGGCGCAGUGCGGUGGCCGUGUCCGUUCUGAAGAGAAGCCCGCCUCCGGCGGCUGUGAACCCGCCCAGAAAGGCGGGACUGCGCAAAGUGAAGAAGGAAAAAGAGGAGGAGGAAGAGGAGAACGAUCUGGUGGAAGUUGAGGUGGUGAAGCCCAAAGAAGAGGCAGAGGCGGCUUUUCCCCACGUCUUUCAGCAGACGCCCAAGGAGAUGGAACGGCUGCCGAAAGAGCAUGAAAAUGAAGAAGAGGAGGAGGCGAACGGUAUGAUGGAAGACGACAGUGGAGCGGAGGAUAAGGAGAAGGAGUUAUUGAGUUCGGGACGUCUCCACAUGCUGCCCCUCCUCUCCUCCCUGUCUUCCCUGGUCCUCUACCUCCGCAGGCUCCAGCACUCUGCCUUCCUCUCCCUGUCCCGCCAGCUCCAAUCCGCCGAGGCCUGGCGCCUCCUGUGCCACUCCUCCCUCGCCCUGCUCAUACUAUACAAUCGUCGCCGCGAGUGCGAGGUCUCCAAACUGGCCAUAGCCGAAUACCGCUCCCGUGUCACCCCCCAGUGCCCCGUGCCAGUGCCCCCCGGCGCCCCGCCCGCCCUCACACCCCUGGAGGCAUCGCUUUCGCCCUUUGAGCGUCUCGUGCUUCCACAUUUGCCUCGAGUAGGUGUCCAGGGCAAACGAGGAAGAGUCCAACCUCUUAUCCUGCCACCGCACUGCGAGCCGUGUCUGGAACUCCUCCUCCAGACCAGGCAAGAUGUCGGCGUCGAUCCCCAGAACCCGUACGUCUUCGCCCGGCCGUACCACUCCCCAGCCACCCCCCUCCGUGGCACCGACCUCCUCCGGAGCCUGGCCCGCUCCAGUGGCACCCGGAACCCCCGCGCCCUCACCCAGACCCGAGUCCGGCGCCAGGUCGCCAUCUUGACGCAGCUGCUAUUGCUCGGCGAGGGGGAGGAGCCAGGACAGCCGGGUGGGAACGCCGUAGAGCGCCUGGAACACUUCCUGGAGCGUGAGUACCACGUGACGCAGAGCUGCGGCGGGAUUGGCCACGACCCGGGGCUGAUGGGUAGAGUGGGGCGCGUGGUGCUGUGCGGGGAGAGAGACGGCGUGCUGUUCCGGGGGAUGAGCCUCCACCACAUCUGUCUGGAGCUUGACGUGAUGUCAGGCAACUCGGCCGACUCGUACUCGGAGGGCGACUCUGACGGCGAGGGGCGGAAGGAGAAGGGCGAGGUGGCCUCUCCCAGCCUGCUGAUGGUGAGGAAGGGCAGGACAAACAGCAGGACGCCGCGUGCCAGGAAACUCAAGGUCACGCCCUCCUCCACAUCGCCCCUCUCCCCCUCGCUCCCCGGCCGCAGAAGAGGCUCAGGUGGGCCCAAAUCAGGAAAACGCGGCGUCCUCAAGCGCCCGUGGUCGGACGCAGAGCGCGCCGCUGUGGAGGAGCACCUGACCUGCAACAUCGCCGAGCUGCGCGUGCCUGCUAAGGCCGACUGCGAGCGCUGCCUGCAGAGCUGCCCGCUGCUGGUCACCAACCGGCGCGACUGGCGGGCCAUCAAAUUCUACUGUCACAACCGCAUCCAGCUGCUUAAGAAGAACCAGCGGCGUGAGGACGACGGGACGCCCAUCAUGGUGUGCUGAGAAGACUGGCGGAGAGACUGAGAGAUAGAUGGACAGACACAACAAUAGCUCCACAGUAUCCACAAUAGCGUGCUACUUGGAAUGAAGGAAGCCAAAACAGAGGCGUGGUCAACUCCGUAACGUUACUGCAGUGACUGUCAACUCUGUAAUAUUUUUUCCGCUGACGGUCCAAAAACAAGAGUUGAUGCUUAA
rnacentral:lncRNA from 13 species